rnacentral:lncRNA from 1 species
AUGGUUUACACCAGAGAAGAGCUUGAGGUGGUUUUAGUCUACAUCAUGCGUCUACUCAUGGUUUACACUAGAGAAGAACCCAAAAUUAGACUUGGUUUACUCUACUCUUCAAGCUUCUACUCGUGGUUGGCACCAGAGAAGAGCUCGAGGUGGUUUUGGUCUACGUCAAGCAUCUACUCAUGGUUUCCACCAAAGACUUGGAGUUGGUCUUCCUCUACGUCAAGCCUCUACUCAAGGUUGCUACCAACGACUUGGAGCUGGUUUUUCUCUACAUCCAACUUCUACUCAUGGUUGCUACCAAGGAGUUGGAGAUGUUUUUUGUCUACAUCAAGCUUCUACUCAUGGUUUCCACCAAAGACUUGGAGAUGUUUUUUCUCUAUGCCCAAGCCUCUACUCAUGGUUUCCACCAAAGCCUUGGAGAUGUUUUUCUCUAUGCCAAGCCUCUACUCAUGGUUUCCACCAAGGAGUUGGAGUUGGUCUUACUCUACAUUNNNNNNNNNNAAGCAUCUACUCAUGGUUUCCACCAAAGAGUUGCUCUUCCUCUAUGCCAAGCAUCUACUCAUGGUUUCCACCAAAGAGUUGCUCUUCCUCUAUGCCAAGCAUCUACUCAUGGUUUCCACCAAAGAGUUGGUCUUCCUCUACACCAAGCAUCUCCUCAUGGUUGCCACCAAAGCCUUGGAGAUGCUUUUUCUCUAUGUCAAGGCUCUACUCAUAGUUUCCACCAAAGACUUGGAGAUGUUUUUUGUCUACAUCAAGCAUCUACUCAUGGUUUCCACCAAAGAGUUGGAGUUGGUCUUACUCUACAUCAAGCAUCUACUCAUGGUUUCCACCAAAGAGUUGGUCUUCCUCUAUACCAAGCCUCUACUCAAGGUUGCUACCAAGGAGUUGGAAAUGGUUUUUCUCUACACCAAGCCUCUACUCAUGGUUUCCACCAAGGAGUUGGAGAUAUUUUCCCCUUUCUCAACCACAGCCGCCACCCGAGAAGAACCGAACCAAACCCUCCUCCCUCCCACCCCCUCCUCACACCUCCCACCCCACCCCCCGCCCCCUACUCGUCCUCCCCCACCCCCGCACCCGUAGACCAGGAGGUGCUUCUCCACGCGGAAGCAGUCGGUGCGGCCGUAGGGGUGGUGGAGGGGGUGGUGGUGGUGGUGGGGGUGGUGGUGGGGGGGGUGGUGGUGGCGCCGCGAGCGGGGCCGCUCCUCGUCCUCGCUCUCCAGGUCGGAGAAUUCCACCAGGUCGUCGUCGCGCAAGGUGCUGAAGUGGCGCGUCUGCUUGCGCACCCGGGGCGUGUCGAUCACCAGGUUGUUCUACAAGUAGUAAACCAGGAGUAGGAGGACGAAGAGGAGGAGGAGGGUGAAGGAUGAAGGUC